AGGGAUGUCGAGAUUUUUUUUUCUUCCAGCUCGCAGGUGCUGCAGAGGAAAAAGAAAGAAGAAGGAUUCAGCGACGAUCUUUGAGGGACGCUGCAAACCCCUUUGAUAUGCCGGACGAAGAGUUCCGUCAUAUAUACAGAGUACGAAAGGAGUUAGUGUUAUAUAUUUGUGAAGAACUCAACGCCGACCUCCAGCCUCACAAGGGUGAUGGAUUGCCAUCUCACCUUAAGGUUCUAACAGCAUUACAUCUGCUGGCUGAUGGCAAUUAUCAACACGGGACUGGUCAGGAUCAUGGUUUAUCUAUUGGUCAGACGACUGUAAGCCAGUAUCUCGAACAAUUUGUAGAUGCUGUGAACAGAAGACUUAAAGACCAAUGGAUAGUUUUUCCUGGAACUGAUAGGUCCCGACGAUCAGUUGCCUCAGUAUUUGAGGACGCAUAUGGUCUGCCAAAUAUCUUGGGUGCAGUAGACUGCACUCAAGUGAAAAUAUUUCCCACCUGUGCCACACGGAGUGCAAUAUCUGAAUCGGAAAGGCGUUCACGCUCUUAAUGUACAGCUAAUUGCAGAUGUCAACUGUAAGAUCUUGGCAGUAAACACGAGGUUUCCUGGCCGUGUGCACGACUCUUUCAUAUUUAACAAUUCGUCCAUUAAGGAUGAAUUAAGAAGAUUGUACAAUGGCCACAUUGGGGAGUAUUUCCUUCUGGGUAAGCAGAAAAUUGUGUAUCUGUACCUAGUGUAAAUUUAUUCGAUGGGGAGACGUGACGUACGCGUUUGCGUUAACUGUCAUUUUGUAUGGAAUUUUGAGUUUCCAAAACAUCCCGCUUGGCGCGCUGUUUCUAAAUCCCUUAGCACCACUUGCACCAUUUCACUAACUCGGGGUUAACUGGUUAACCCUGGAGUUACCAUGUUACCAGUACAAUUUCACAUUGGGUUAACGGUUUAACCGGUUAACCCCGGGUUAUUGGAUGGGGCAAGUGCAUGUUAGUAAAUGUACUUAGAUCACGACCACAGAAUUGAACUAUUGUUCAUGACUAAGUUAAUAUACCUAUCAUAAUGUAAAUAACCGGCCAAGAGCAUGUCGGGCCACGCUCAGUGUAGGGUUCCGUAGUUACUCUUCCGUCACUAUAAGCUAAACUGGAGCUUAAAGUGUAGUAAAUGGUACCUUUCACCCGAGUUAAACAAAUAGGCAAAUUUGCAUAAUCAGUACCUAAUUAAAGUAAGUCUUUUUACUAUGAAGGGAAAACUUUUUGCGAUAACUCAAAAACAGCUAAACUGAUCAUGUCCCCUAUAGUUUUCAUUUAAUGUCUUUCUUAAGCUCUACUUCCACGAUUUUUUUCAUAUUUUUUGGACCUAUGGUUCAAAAGUUAGAGGGGGGGACACAUUUUUUUUUUCUUUCGGAGCGGUUAUCUCCGAAUAUAUUCACUUUAUCAAAAAAUGUUUCUUGAAAACACCUAUUAGUUUUGAAAGACCUUUCCAACGAUAUCCCACACUCUAGGGUUGAAGCGAAAAAAAAAAAUUCACCCCCACUUUACGUGUAAUCUAAAAAAAAAAUUUUUAGAUUUUAUUGUACGACUUUGUCGGCUUUAUUGAUUUAUAUAUCCAUGCCAAAUUUCAGCUUUCUAGCACUAACGACCACGGAGCAAAGCCUCGGACAGACAGACA